GGGAUAAAAAUGGAGCAUAUAAAUAGAGCAGUGCUUCAGUCAGAGAGAAUCACUCUUUAGAUGCUCUUCAUCAACUCCGGGUUGGUAAGAUUAUUCAGACUUCAAUUAGUCUAGUCUCACUGAUUACAGUCCUGAUUAUACACACAGGGUUUGAAAGACCACACACACAGACUGGUGACUGUAAGAAGCAGUGUUUCAGAUCAAACUAUUUGACUUCAUUCUUCAGUACAGCGUGAAGUGAAUCAACCAGACGAGAUGUCUCAGCAGAAAUUUGAAGAUCUCAGUGAUGAACUGCAACAAUGCAUUGAGAAACUCAACUCAGCAUACAACAGAAAUCAUACAACUCUCAGAGAUCAAAUAAAGAAACUGGAAGACAUCAUCAAAGAACUUGAAUCCAUGCACAAGAACACUACGAAGGGUAGUUUGGUAGGAGCAUCAAUAGGAGCAUUAGGAGGAAUUACAUUGCUGGGUAUAGCUUUGGCUCCAUUUACGUUUGGUGCUUCCAUAGCUGUUACUGGUGUAGCUGGUGUUACUGCUAUGGGUGUUGGAGUAACUGGAGGACUAAUAGGUGCAGCGUCUAACAUCACUAACAUGUGGAGGCAGAAAAACCUGCGUCAGACUAUUGAAAAUAUCAUCAAUGAUUUCCAGAGCAAAAUUGAACCAAUGAUUGCGCAUCUCAAUACAAUUUCUCAAACCAUAGAAAACCUUCAGAAAGUGGAGAGCAUGUAUUCUCUUCAAAAUAAGGCAGUGCUGACAACUUUUAAAGCUAUGAAAACUGCUAAUAACAUUAGUAGUCUUUUACAUGUGCUUCGAACUACUAAAAUUGGGAAAGUGUUCGCAAGAGCUGCAAAAGCAGUUCAAGUGGUUGGGAAACUAUCUGCGUCAAUCUCAACUAUAUUUUUUUUCCUUGAUAUUUACACAAUUUACUGUAAUUCAGCAGAGCUCUCUGAAAUGAAUUCAGGAAAAGAGAUAAAAGCAGAAGAAAUCAAAUCAGAAACUUGGAGUUUUAUUUGUGAAAUGAGAAAAAUAGCUGCUAGAUUUCAGGAGACUCUGGACGAAAUUACAUGUGCUAGAGACGCUAUUAACAAAGCAUUACAAAUCAGUCAAAAUCAUUUUUGACAUUACUGAACUGCUCUGUUUAGUGUUGUCACUUUAAAAUGAAAUCUUGACAACUGAAGGGGUAGAUAUACAUGUAAACUCUCAUAUUACAGUUUAUUUGAAGAAAAUGUUAAAUAAGGUAAAGCAUACAUGUUUACUCAAUAAUUUUGCAAUAUAUGUGAUUAUGUAGUCUGCAUGACCUUGGAUAAACUCUAUUUGCAAACAGUCUUUGUAAAUGAACCACUUGCACUGGGUUUUAGAUCUUUUUAUUUCUUCUGAGAUUCUAUGGGCAUCCAUUUCAUUUGCUCUUUUUGUGAAGAAUGUUACUGUUUUACAAUGUAAAGAUCAAAAUGGCUAUUGCAAAAUAAAUGGACAUGAUCUCUCC